rnacentral:rRNA from 1 species
UACAGAGGGGGCAAGCGUUAUUCGGAAUUAUUGGGCGUAAAGGGCGCGUAGGCGGCCUGGCAAGUGGAAGGUGAAAUCCCUCGGCUUAACCGAGGAACUGCCCUCCAAACUGCUUGGCUUGAGUCUGGGAGAGGUGAGUGGAAUUCCCAGUGUAGCGGUGAAAUGCGUAGAUAUUGGGAGGAACACCAGUGGCGAAGGCGGCUCACUGGACCGGAACUGACGCUGAGGCGCGAAAGCGUGGGGAGCAAACGGG